rnacentral:lncRNA from 10 species
GUGCUGGGAUUACAGGAAUGAGCCAUCACUCCCGGCCUGUUGAUUGUCUUUUUGUAUUAGGUCAUUCUUGCACUGCUAUAAAGAAAUACCUGAGACGGGGUCAUUUAUAAAGAAAGGCUUAUUGGUUCGUGGUUCAGCAGGCUGUACAGGAAGCACAGCGGCAUCUGCUUCUGGAGAGGCCCCAGGAGGCUUCCAAUCAUGGUCAAAGGCAAAGCAGGAGGAGGGACAUCACAUGGCAAAGGCAGGAGCAAGUGGGGGGAUGGGGGAGGUGCCACACACUUGUAAAUGACCAGAUCUCGUGUGAACUCAGAGAGACAGCUCACUUAUCACCAAGGGAUGGCCCAAGCUCCCAUGACCCAAACACCUCCCACCAGGCCCCACCUCCAACACUGGAGAUUACAAUUCAACAUGAGAUUUGGGUGAGGACAAAUAUCCAAACUAUAUCAUUCCACCCGGGACCCCUCCCAAAUCUCACGUCCUUCCUACAUUGCAAAAUACUAUCAUGCCUUCCCAAGAAUCCCCCAAAAUCUUAACUGAUUCCAGCGUUAACUCAAAAGUCCAAAGUCUCCCCCGAGACAAGGCAUGUCCCUUCCACCAAUGAGACUGUAAAACAAAAUACAAGUAAUUUACUUCCAAGACACAAUAGGAAUAUAGGCACUGGGUAAGUACUGUCAUUCCAAAAGGAAGAAAUCAGCCAAAUGAAAGGGACUACAGGUCCCAUGGAAGUUCCAAACCCAGCAGGGCAGGUGUUAAAUCUGAAAGCUCCAAAACAAUCUCCUUUGACUCCAUGCUCCACAUCCAGGGCACACUGGUGCCAGGGGUGGGCUCCCAAGGCCUUGGGCAGCUCCGCCCUCGGGGCUUUGCAGGUUCCAUCCCUAACGCUGCUCUCACAGGUUGUUGAGUGCUUGUGAAACCGCAGGGUGCAAGCUGCUGAUGACUUUGCCGUUCUGAAUUCUGGAGGGCAGUGGCCCCUUCUCGCAACUCCACUAGGCAGUGCCCCAGCGGGGACUCUGUGUGGGGGCUCCAACUCUCUCAAUUAGUCAGAUGGGAUUUUGGGGAUUUGUGGACAUUGCUCCUUGGCACUGCCCUAGUAAAGGUUCUCUGUGGGGGCUCUGCCCCCCGCAGCAGGCAUCUGCCUGGGAACUUGGGCUUUCUCAUACAUCCUCUGAAAUCGAGACAGAGGCUGCCAAGCCUUCACUCUUGCAUUCUGCGCACCCACAGGCUUAAUGCCAUGUGAAAGCUGUCAAGGCUUACAGCUUGCAACCUCCAAAGUGGCAGCCUGAGCUGUACCUGGGCCCCUGUGAGCUGAGGCUGGAGCUGGAGCUGCUGGGAUGCCAUAUGGGGAGCACUGCCCUGAGGCUGUAUAGGGAAGUGGGGCCCUGGGCCUGGCCCACAAAACCAUUUCGUUCCCCUAGGCCUCAGGGCCUGUGAUGGGAGGGGCUGUCAUGAAGGUCAUCAUUCCAUUGGCUUGGUCAUCACCUCUCGGCUCAUUUUCAAACACGCAAAUAUCUCUAAGAAGUGGUUCCUCCACACUCUGCUUGAAUUCCUCUCCUGAAAAAGCUUUUCCUUUCUCUGCCACAUGGCCAGGCUGCGCAUUUUCCAAACUUUUUUUUUUUUUUUGCGUGGCGGACAAAGUCUCAUUCUGUCGCCAGACUGGAGUGCAGUGGUGUGAUCUUGGUUCACUGCAACCUCCGCCUCCCAGGUUCAAGUGAUUUUCCUGCCUCAGCCUCCCGAGUAGCUGGGAUUACAGGUGCCCUCCACCACACCCGGCUCAUUUUUGUAGUUUUAGUAGAUGUGGGAUAUGAUGAGGUUUCUCUUCAAAUAGCCUGAUCAAUCCUUUCUUCCUUAAUUCAUAGUACCUCCCCCACCCCUUUUUCCUUUUUCUCUUUUCUGCCUUUGUUAGAUGCCUGGACACGCCACAGGACCAGGCUUAUCAGUACCAGCUCACAUUCCUUUCCUUAUUUGGAAAGGAGACUAGUCUCUAGCUCAUUGCAAACGCUCCUUCCCCUUCUUCUUUCCCUCUCUCCCUUACAUGCCCACCAUAUCUAAAGAAAGUUCAAAUGUCUACCCAACUGGGAUUAGUUCAGUUUGUGCAACCCAACCCUGGCCAAUGGGGAAAGGGUACAGGGACAGGACUUGCAUCAGAAAUAAAGGCCCUCAUGCCCCUUUGUUCAGGUGUGCUCUCAUGGCAACUGGCCAAGGAGAAGCACCUGUCUACGCAGAAGUAAAAUUGCUUUGCUAAGAAUCCUUUGUUUGAGGCUGGGCGCGGUGGCUCACGCCUGUAAUCCCAGCACUUUGGGAGGCUGAGGUGGGCGGAUCAUGAGGUCAGGAGAUCAAGACCAUCCUGGCUAACACGGUGAAACCCUGUCUCUACUGAAAAUACAAAAAAUUAGCCAGGCAUGGUGGCGGGUGUCUGUAGUCCCAUCUACUUGGGAGGCUGAGGUAUGAACCCAGGAGGUGGAGCUUGUAGUGAGCCGAGAUAGUGCCACUGCACUCCAGCCUGGGUGACAGAGCAAGACUCCAUCUCGAAAACAAAAACAAAACAGAACAACAAAAAAGAAUCCUUUGUUUGAGUGUUCGAUCACCUUAGGAUUUUGAGCGUUAUUCCCAACAGUAGAGAUGAGGUUUUGCCAUGUUGGCCAGGCUGGUCUUGAACUCCUGGCGUCACGGUAUCUAUCUGCUUUGGCCUCCCAAAGUGCUGGGAUUACAAGUGUGAGCCACCACACCCAGCCAAUUUUCCAAACUUUUACACUCUGCUUCUCUUUUAAAUAUAAGUUCCAACUUUAAGUCAUUCCUUUGCUCCCUCAUCUAAGUACAGUUUGUUAGAAGCAGCCAUGCCACUUUUUGAACAUUUUGCUGCUUAGGGAUUUCUUCCACCAGAUACCCUAACUCAUGACUCUCAAGUUUAAAUGUCCAUGGAUCCCGAGGCAUGAACAGAAUACAGCCAUGCUCUCUGCCAAAACCUUAGCAAAGAACACAUGACCUUUGUUCCAGUUUCCAAUCAGUUCCUCAUUUCCAGCUGAUACCUCGUCAACCUGGCCUCUACUGUCCACAACACUAUGAACAUUUUGGUCACAAUCAUUUAACCAGUUUCUAAGAAGCUCCAAAUUCUUCCUCAUCAAAUUCUUCUUCCUCAUCAUCCUGUCUCCUUCUGAGCCCUCCACACUCUUCCAACCUCUGCCCAUUACCCAGGUCCAAAGCUGCUUCCACAUUUUCAGGUAUCUAUAGCAAUGCUUUACUCCUUGGUACCAAUUUUCUGUAUUAGGCCAUUCGUGCAAUUGCUAUAAAUAGCUAAGCAACCAGGCACUUAGAGAAGGAAAUGAAAUUAAAGGCAUCCAGGUUGGAAAUUAAGAGGUAAACUAUCUCUCUUUACAAGUGACCUCAUCUUGUAUAUAAAAAGUCCUAAGGAUUUCACUUAAAAAAACCCUAAUAAACAAGUUCAGCAACAUUGCAGGAGACAAGCUCAAUAUACAAAAUCAGCUGUAUUUCUGUAUAUUUAAGUGAAUAAUCUGAAAUUGAAAUUAAGAAGAUUUCAUUUACAAUAGCACCAAAAAUAAAACAGUAAUAGGCUGAACAAAACAAGUAUAAAAUUUAUACUCUGAAAACUACAAAACUUGGUUGAAAGAAAGUAAAGAAGACCAAAAUAAAUGGAAAGGCACCCUCAAUCCACGGAUCUGGACUUAAUGUAGCGGAGACGGCGGCACUCUCCAAACACAUCCACAGAUUCUACGCAACUCCUAUCAACAUCUCACUUGGCUCCUCCGCAGAAACUGAAAAGCUUAUCCUAAAAAUUCACAUGGAAAUUUGAGGGUCCCAGAAUAGCCAAAACAAUCUUGAAAAAGAAGAACAAAGUUGGAGAACUCACACUUCCCAAUUUCAAAGCUUACUACAAGGCUGCCAUGAGGACGUAAGAAUAGACACACAGAGCAAUGGGACAGAACUGAGGGCUGGAAAGAAGCUCCUGGCUACAGGCAGCGGGUUUCCACACGGUGCCAAAACAAUUACACGGAGAAAGGACUGUCUUUUUAACAAAUGACGCUGGGACAGAAAAAUACCCACAUAUAAAAGGAAGAAGUCAAGCCGGGCGCGGUGGCUCACGGCUGCAAUCCCAGCACUUUGGGAGGCUGAGCCAGGCAGAUCACCUGAGGUCAGGAGUUCAAGACCAGCCUCGCCAACAGAGUGAGACCCUGUCUCAAAAACAUAUUUAUAUAAAUAUAAAUAAACUAUAAAACUGUUAAGAAAUCAUAGACACAAAUCUUCAUGAUCUUGGAUUAAGCAGGGGUUCCUUAGCUAUGACACCAAAAGCACAAGGAACAACAACAAAAAUAAAUUAGAUUUCAUCAAAAUUAAAAACUUUUGUGCUUCAAGGGACACCAUCAAAAAGGUUAACAAGACAUCCCAAAGAAUGGGUGAAAAUAUUUGCAAAUCAUGUGUCUAAUAAGGGUCUAGUAUCCCGAAUAAAGUAUUACAACUCAAUAAAAAGACAACGAACCCAAUUAAAAAUAGGCAAAUUAUCUGAAUAGACAUUUCUCUAAGAUAUACAAAUGGUCAGUAACACCCACGAAAAAAUGCUCAACACCAUUAGACACCAGAGAAAUGCAGGUCAAAGCCACAAUGACGUACCACCUCAUGCCUGCUAGAGUGGCUGUAAUCAAAAAGAAUAUAAGAGUUGGUGAGGCUGUAGAGAGACCAGAACCAUCGGCCACUGUGCAAAAGAGUGUGGUCGUUCAUCCUAUGGGUGAACAUCCAGUUACCACACAACCCAGCAAUUCCACUCCCAGGUGCAGACCCAAGAGCAGACGCUGUCCACACAGAAACCUGUAUAGGAAUGUGUUUGUUUUUAAAAUUUGUUUAUUUUUGUUUUAUUUCUUUAUAUGAGACGGAGUCUUGCUCUGUUGCCAGGCUGGAGUGCAGUGGCGCAAUCUCGGCUCACUGCAACCUCUGCCUCAUGGGUUCAAGCGAUUCUCCUGCCUCAGCCUCCAGAGUAGCUGGGACUACAGGUGUACACCACCACGCCUGGCUGAUUUUUGUUUUUUUUUGAGUCUUUUUUUUUUUUUUUUUUUGAGACAGAGUCUUGCUCUGUCACCCAGGCUGCAAGUGCAAUGGCAUGAUCUCGGCUCACUGCAACCUCUGCCUCCCAGGUUCAAGCGAUUCUCCUGCCUCAGCCUCCCGAGUAGCUGGGACUACAGGCAUGCGCCACCACGCCUGGCUAAUUUUGUAUUUUUAGUAGAAACGGGGUUUCUCCAUGCUGGUCAGGCUGGUCUCAAACUCCUGAUCUCAGGUAAUCCACCCGCCUCGGCCUCCCAAAGUGCUAGGAUUACAGACGUGAGCCACCUCAGCCGACCUUGUUAUUUAUUGUUUUUUGUUUGUUUUUUUUUUUUUUUUGGAGACAGAGUCUCGCACUGUCACCAGGGCUGCAGUCUGGAGUGCAGUGGCACGAUCUCGGCUCACUGCAACCUCUGCCUCCGCCUCCCGGAUUCAAGCCAUUCUCUUGGCUCAGCCUCCCUAGUAGCUGGGAUUACAGGCGCCCGCCACCAUGCCCAGCUAAUUUUUGUAUUUUUAGUAGAGACGGGGUUUCACCAUGUUGGCCAGGCUGGCCUCGAAAUCCUGACCUCGUGAUUCGCCUGCCUCGGCCUCCCAAAGUGUUGGGAUUACGGGCGUGAGCCACCGCGCCCAGCCCCGUUUUUUUUUUUAAAAGACAGAGUCUUGCUCUGUCGCCCAGGAUGGAGUCCAGUGGCAUGAUCAACUCUGCAGCCUCAAACUCCUGAGCUCGAGUGAUCCUCCUGCCUCAGCCUCCUGAGCAGCUGGGAUUAUAGGCGCCCGCAACCACGCCAGGCUCACACACACACACACACACACACAC